GACAGAGGUGCCGAGCGUUAGGCGGAAUUACUGGGCUUAAAGCGUGUGUAGGCGGACUUCUAAGUACCUUGUGAAAUCCCACGGCUCAACCGUGGAACUGCUUGGUAUACUGGUCGUCUUGAGCCAUCUAGGGGCUACCGGAACAAAUGGUGGAGCGGUGAAAUGCGUAGAUAUCAUUUGGAACGCCAAUGGUGAAAACAGGUAGCUGGGGAUGUGCUGACGCUGAGACACGAAAGCCAGGGGAGCAAACGGG
rnacentral:rRNA from 1 species